rnacentral:lncRNA from 1 species
GGUAAGAAGUAAAGCAGUAGCUUCUUGAUCUUGCUAGAUAUUGCCAGGCACUGAAUGCUACAAAAAUAGAUGAUAGACUUCCAUAAAGAAAAAGAUUCAACAGUUGACAGACACAGAAAUAUUCAACAUUUAAUUUAGACAUAGAUAAUAAUGCGCAUAAGUAGCAGAAUGCUAAAACAAGGUAUCUUAGAACACAAAGGAUGAUGUAGCUGGUCGGGUAAAGCAGUAGCU